rnacentral:rRNA from 1 species
UACGGAGGGUGCAAGCGUUAUCCGGAUUCACUGGGUUUAAAGGGUGCGUAGGUGGGCAGUUAAGUCAGUGGUGAAAUCUCCGAGCUUAACUCGGAAACUGCCAUUGAUACUAUCUGUCUUGAAUAUCGUGGAGGUAAGCGGAAUAUGUCAUGUAGCGGUGAAAUGCUUAGAUAUGACAUAGAACACCAAUUGCGAAGGCAGCUUACUACCCGAAUAUUGACACUGAGGCACGAAAGCGUGGGGAGUCAAACAGG